rnacentral:rRNA from 1 species
UAAGAAUUGCUUAAUUGCACCACAUGUGUUUUUCUUUGAAACAAACUUGCUUUGGCGGUGGGCCCAGCCUGCCGCCAGAGGUCUAAACUUACAACCAAUUUUUUAUCAACUUGUCACACCAGAUUAUUACUAAUAGUCAAAACUUUCAACAACGGAUCUCUUGGUUCUCGCAUCGAUGAAGAACGCAGCGAAAUGCGAUACGUAAUAUGAAUUGCAGAUAUUCGUGAAUCAUCGAAUCUUUGAACGCACAUUGCGCCCUCUGGUAUUCCGGAGGGCAUGCCUGUUUGAGCGUCGUUUCUCCCUCAAACCGCUGGGUUUGGUGUUGAGCAAUACGACUUGGGUUUGCUUGAAAGACGGUAGUGGUAAGGCGGGAUCGCUUUGACAAUGGCUUAGGUCUAACCAAAAACAUUGUUUGCGGCGGUAACGUCCACCACGUAUAUCUUCAAACUUUGACCUCAAAUCAGGUAGGACUACCCGCUGAACUUAAGCAUAUCAAUAAGCGGAGGAA